rnacentral:rRNA from 1 species
UUGGCUGUUCGCCAAUUAAAGGGGUACGUGAGCUGGGUUCAGUACGUCGUGAGACAGUACGGUCUCUAUCUACCGUGGGCGCAGGAAACUUGAGGGGAUUUGUCCUUAGUACGAGAGGACCGGGAUGAACGCACCUCUGGUGUGCCGGUUGUUCCGCCAGGAGCAUAGCCGGGUAGCCAUAUGCGGACAAGAUAAACGCUGAAAGCAUCUAAGCGUGAAACUUACCCCAAGAUUAGGUUUCCCUAAAGGUCACCCAUAGACUAUGGGUUUGAUAGGAUAGAAGUGGAAGUGCGGUAACGCAUGGAGCUAACUAUUACUAAUCGACCGUUUGGCUUGGCCAUAU